ensembl:processed_transcript 2010204K13Rik RIKEN cDNA 2010204K13 gene
GAGCAAUGAAUUCACCCAGGAUCCAUGGAAGGCUUGAGCAAAUGCUUACUUAGCAAAGUGCUAGGCACAGAGCUAAGCAAGGCAAACCAUCGAAAAGGAGAGCCGAGGGAGCUUCCCUAAGGCACGACUGACAAGUAUCCUGGAGAAACCUGAUCUUACACAGAGCACGUGGUGGCUGCUAGAGGACAAGCAGGGUCAGGAAGACAGUCACGGGGAAGAUAACAGGAAAUGAGUAAGAACCUGUGAAAGCCCUUUGACCUGAGGAGUUGCAGGAGGCUGAGAUUACCUGCUGGGAUGCUAAAGUUUAAAAAGGGUUGCUUAUGUGACUGUAACUGUGGAGUUAUGCACUGGACCUGGCUGGCUUCCCUAGUGGGUACAUAUUUGAAGAUAAUGAUAUCCGGUCUUCCAGAGUCUACCAAUAGCCAAUAGUUCCCCAGGGUCCUGUAAGUACUGACAAGGGGUGUGAUUUUGCCAGCUGAAGGCAGUUUACAUUCGGAGUUCCGCGGACUCUUCAGAGGCUGUAAAAAUGCCGGAGUCACGAAAGCCUGCAAAGAGCUGUUGCUUGCCUUGCUGCUGCUGCUGCUACUGCCGUCCCUGCCCGUGCUGCAGCUGCUACUCCUGCUGCUGCUGCUGCUGCUUGUUGCUGAUUGUUGCGGUUGCUGGUUGCUGUUUACUGUUUGCUGCCGGCUGGAUUGCUGGAUUGCUGAUUGCCAGUCGGCGAAAUCCUGGCGAUGAAGAUCCAACUUGCCCCAAGAAACAAGACGACCCUAAGAAGUAGUCUAAUGAUUUCAAUACGCCCUUUCCCCCUCUGACCUUUCUCUCUUACCUUAUGCUGGGGGAUUGGAAGGGUGGCAGAAAAAAGAACCCAAUAAAGUAGCCAAAAGU